rnacentral:ncRNA from 1 species
CAAUAUACGAUAAACAAUUGUCGCCUUAAGUGGGAACACUUAUUGAAUAAUUGGAUGAAUUCAGGGAAACCGCAGCACGUCAUGGUGGUGGCAAUCCUGAGCCAAGCCUACAGAGUAGGAAGGUGCAACGACUACCUGAGCUAUAGCGAUAUAGCUUAAUAACAGGAAUUAACUUACAGUAGUGUGUAAGUGAAAAAGCGUCCGACACCCAGAACGGGUGAUGAUAUAGUCUAGGCAUUGUGAAAGCAAUGA